rnacentral:rRNA from 1 species
GAUGAACGCUGGCGGCGUGCCUAAUACAUGCAAGUCGAGCGAACAGACGAGGAGCUUGCUCCUCUGACGUUAGCGGCGGACGGGUGAGUAACACGUGGAUAACCUACCUAUAAGACUGGGAUAACUUCGGGAAACCGGAGCUAAUACCGGAUAAUAUAUUGAACCGCAUGGUUCAAUAGUGAAAGACGGUUUUGCUGUAACUUAUAGAUGGAUCCGCGCCGCAUUAGCUAGUUGGUAAGGUAACGGCUUACCAAGGCAACGAUGCGUAGCCGACCGGAGAGGGUGAUAGCCCACACUGGAACUGAGCCGCGGUCCAGACUCCUACGGGAGGCCGCAGUAGGGAAUCUUCCGCAAUGGGCGAGAGCCUGACGGAGCAACGCCGCGUGAGUGAUGAAGAUCUUCGGAUCGUAAAACUCUGUUAUGAGGUAAGAACCGAUGUGUAAGUAACUAUGCACGUCUUGACGGUACUUAAUCAGAAAGCCACGGCUAACUACGUG